UGCAAGUCGAACGGCAGCACGGGGGCAACCCUGGUGGCGAGUGGCGAACGGGUGAGUAAUACAUCGGAACGUGCCCAGUCGUGGGGGAUAACGUAGCGAAAGUUACGCUAAUACCGCAUACGAUCUCUGGAUGAAAGCGGGGGACCGCAAGGCCUCGCGCGAUUGGAGCGGCCGAUGUCAGAUUAGGUAGUUGGUGGGGUAAAGGCUCACCAAGCCGACGAUCUGUAGCUGGUCUGAGAGGACGACCAGCCACACUGGGACUGAGACACGGCCCAGACUCCUACGGGAGGCAGCAGUGGGGAAUUUUGGACAAUGGGCGCAAGCCUGAUCCAGCCAUUCCGCGUGCAGGAUGAAGGCCCUCGGGUUGUAAACUGCUUUUGUACGGAACGAAAAGGCCUUGGCUAAUACCCGGGGCGCGUGACGGUACCGUAAGAAUAAGCACCGGCUAACUACGUGCCAGCAGCCGCGGUAAUACGUAGGGUGCAAGCGUUAAUCGGAAUUACUGGGCGUAAAGCGUGCGCAGGCGGUCUUGUAAGACAGAGGUGAAAUCCCCGGGCUCAACCUGGGAACUGCCUUUGUGACUGCAAGGCUUGAGUACGGCAGAGGGGGAUGGAAUUCCGCGUGUAGCAGUGAAAUGCGUAGAUAUGCGGAGGAACACCGAUGGCGAAGGCAGUCUCCUGGGCCUGUACUGACGCUCAUG
rnacentral:rRNA from 1 species